rnacentral:rRNA from 1 species
CACAAGCGGUGGAUGAUGUGGUUAAUUCGAUGCAACGCGAAAACCUUACCACCUUGACAUGUACGGAAUCCUUUAGAGAUAGAGGAGUGCUCGAAAGAGAGCCGUAACACAGGUGCUGCAUGGCUGUCGUCAGCUCGUGUCGUGAGAUGUUGGGUUAAGUCCCGCAACGAGCGCAACCCUUGUCAUUAGUUGCUACAUUCAGUUGGGCACUCUAAUGAGACUGCCGGUGACAAACCGGAGGAAGGUGGGGAUGACGUCAAGUCCUCAUGGCCCUUAUAGGUGGGGCUACACACGUCAUACAAUGGAUGGUACAAAGGGUCGCCAACCCGCGAGGGGGAGCCAAUCCCAUAAAGCCAUUCGUAGUCCGGAUCGUAGUCUGCAACUCGACUACGUGAAGUCGGAAUCGCUAGUAAUCGUGGAUCAGAAUGUCACGGUGAAUACGUUCCCGGGUCUU